GUCCACGCCGUAAACGAUGGAUACUAGCUGUUGGGCGCAAGUUCAGUGGCUAAGCGAAAGUGAUAAGUAUCCCACCUGGGGAGUACGUUCGCAAGAAUGAAACUCAAAAGGAAUUGACGGGGGCCCGCACAAGCGGUGGAGCAUGUGGUUUAAUUCGAUGAUACGCGAGGAACCUUACCAAGGCUUAAAAUGUAGAUUGACCGAUUUUGGAAAACAGAUCUUUCGCAAGACAAUUUACAAGGUGCUGCAUGGUUGUCGU
rnacentral:rRNA from 1 species